rnacentral:rRNA from 1 species
GACGAACGCUGGCGGCGUGCCUAACACAUGCAAGUCGAACGGAAGUAAGUGCUUCGGUAUUUACUUUAGUGGCGAACGGGUGAGUAACGCGUGAGGAACCUGCCUUUCAGUGGGGGACAACAGUUGGAAACGACUGCUAAUACCGCAUAAGCCCACAGCUCGGCAUCGAGCAGAGGGAAAAGGAGUGAUCCGCUUUGAGAUGGCCUCGCGUCCGAUUAGCUGGUUGGUGAGGUAACGGCCCACCAAGGCGACGAUCGGUAGCCGGACUGAGAGGUUGAACGGCCACAUUGGGACUGAGACACGGCCCAG